rnacentral:rRNA from 1 species
AGAUUGAACGCUGGCGGCAUGCCUAACACAUGCAAGUCGAACGGGAGUAGCAAUACUCUAGUGGCGGACGGGUGAGGAAUACGUAGGAAUUUGCCCUUAAGUGGGGGAUAACCCGGGGAAACCCGGAUUAAUACCGCAUGACCUCGAAAGAGCAAAGUGGGGGAUCGCAAGACCUCACGCUUUUGGAGAAGCCUACGUCGGAUUAGCUAGUUGGUGAGGUAAUGGCUCACCAAGGCGACGACUCCGUAACUGGUCUGAGUAGGAUGAUCAGUCACACCGGAACUGACGACACGGGUCCCGGACUCCCGUACGGGAGGCAGACGAGGUGGGGAAUAGUUGGACAAGUGGGCGACAAGCCUGGACUCCGAGAC